rnacentral:lncRNA from 10 species
GUCAAAGGGGCCCUUAAUUAUUCACCCAUCCCAGAGGCAUCGUUUGAAGAAAGUGCCUUCUUUAAGGGCAUUGGCUGCCUAGAUGUGUUCAAAUAUAAAUGUGUGUGUGUAUACUUACAUUUUUAAUAGACUUUUAUUUUGGAAUAAUUGUAGAUUUACAGAAAAGCUGCAAAGAAUAGUACAGAGAGUUCCCUCAAAUUCUUCGCCCAGUUUCCUCUAACAUUUGCAUCUUACACAGCCAUGGCACAUUUGUCAAAACUAAGAAAUUAACACUGGUAUUACUUUUAACUAAAGGCUUUUUUGGAUUUUACCAGUUUUUUCACUCAUGCCUUGUUUUGUUCCAAAAUCCAACCCAGGAUAUCACACUGCAUUUAAUCAAAUGUAAAUACGUAUGCUUUAACUUUUUUAUUUUAAAAUAAUCAUAGAUUUACAGGAAAUUGCAACAACAACAAAAAAAGUACAGAGAUUCUGUGUACCCUUCCCCCAGUUUCGUUCAGUGGUAACUCCUUGUAUAACUACACAAUAUCAAAACCAUGAAAUAGAUAUUGGCACAAUCCAUAGACAGUAUUAAAUAUACAUGCAUAUAUAUAUAUUUUUAAGUGAAAAAUAUUUUUAAACCUCGCUUUGCCUCACAGCCAAGAAGAUCAAAUACUUUCUCCAAAAACAUAGAAUUUGUAUCUAACUCCACUCGCUCCAAACUCAAGUCCAACCAUGAAAUUAUUGAUCCCUCUCUCUAACCCUCCAACUACAGGCAAGAAGCUGCCCAUACAUUCCCCAAAGCAGGAGUGCACUCUGCCACAGGCCUAGAUGCCGUCAACCUCCUGGACCUUGAACUCCCUAAAUUAAUGGCCUCUGUGUGAGUAUGUGUAAGCAGCCCCUCUCUGUCCCAGUCCAUCCUAAAAUCACUCCCUUGGAGCCACCACUGCCCCUCUCAUCUUCUAGAAUUUCUAGAAAGAUAAAGAGCUAGAUAAGCAUCUAGGUACCUUUCUUCUGCUGUUAGCUCUAAAGACAAGUGAAUAUAUCCUAGCUAGGAUGUACUCUAAGGAAUGCAGAAGUAGACUUCUGCUCUGAAGCAGUCCUCAGUGCUGCUUCGGUCAGAACUCCCGAGAGGCAUCUGAGUGCUGGCCUGUCACUGCGGCUGGCAUUCCAGGCAUUUCAUUGGCCCCACUUCAGCCCACGCCUGGCUCCACGGGGCUGGGCAGCUGAGGGGAGUUUGUGGCAGAGUGGGCAUGGGGCACGGCCCGUGCAAUGUGCGUUACAAAGGGGCUCUCUCUGAAGCAAGUCCUCUGCACUCCAGUCUAUUUGAGGAAGAAAAGGACAAUUCCCAUAGGGAGGGGGUUUGCUGAAGCAACCAGCUGCCUGGUUUCCUCUCCAGCAUUGAGAGGGAGGGAGGGCUGGCUUAACUGGGGGACGGCCUUCUCAUCUGGACUGUGUCAAGGCCAAGGUUAGGCUCCAAAUUCCAGAAAACCUCUCUGCAGGGUCUUCUUUCAGAGUGGUGAGAAUGGAAGCAGGCUCCCUUCCCCUCCAGCACUAGGAAGCCCCGCAAUUGGUGAGGUGCAAAGAAAGAUGGGCCCAGGCAGGGAGGCGGGAGCAGGGGAGGUGCCCAGGGCAGUGGCUGGAAGGGCAACGGGAGAAGCAGCAGAGGCUGGGGGUGGGGGUCGCAGCAGGUGCUGUCCCUGGCCUGUGUGAAAGGUACUAGAAGGCCCCAUCCUUGGUGCCACAUGGACCCCAGAGGCUUGUCUUAGUCCAUGGGGUCCGAGGUGUAAGACACUUACGUUUGGCGUCACCUCUUAGGCUUGGAUGAAUUUCAGAAAGUGCUAGACUGGAGAACAGUGGAAAAAAUCAGUGGAACAAGAUCUGGAGCACUCACUGCUCAAUGUCAAUGUUAGAGAGCACAACGACACCAAUGGGAGGAGGGUGAGGACCAGAGGCUGAUUGCAUGAGCUCUGUUGGAGUGCAGGACCCACUAACGGGUUAUCUCAGGGUUCCUGGAGGCCACGGCUGUGCCUUGUGGUCCAAGACCUGGGGAAGCCACCACUGUGUCUUCCCUCUCCAUCCUCCGGUGACUUUGGUCCAAUUCCUGUUGCCAUGGCAAUCAGCCCAGCUGGCCUCACAGUUCACUGGCCUCAAAGUUGGCAUCUGUAGGUGAAGCCAGUGGGACCCAGAGAACUUAAUUCUUCUCAACUGAGCUGGCUUGGAGGAACUUUUCUCAUCAGCCACUGGAGCAGAGAACGUCACCAGCGUCUCACUGACGUCAACAUCCUGGGCCUGGCUCUAGCUGAAAAGGAAAAUUCUCCCCAAGGCAGACACAUCUCCCGAAGCCCACACAGGCACUUUCUAUGAUUGCACUGGAAAUCUGUCUCCUGGGGACAGGGAGCGCGUACGCUCACAGUCAAGUCACAAUGUUGAGCAGUCUCCAGGACUCCACGUUCAUCUCUAAGAACAGGAGCCGGUGGUUGGGCGCAGAUUCUUGAGCCAGAUUGCUCGCGUUCAAAACCUGGUCCCUUUUUAUUAAUUGCAUGCUUAGUUACAUUUUCUGUUUGUACUUUUGUUUCCUUCUCUGCAAGACGGGGUUAAUCACAGACACUUGUACAUGAUGUAAUACACUUACAAUACUUAGGACAGGCCUUCCUGCAUAGUAAGUGCUCUGCAAACACUGGCUACUAUUCUCCCUACGUGCAAACUUCUCCCAGCCAAAAGCCGCCCACACCAAGCCCCUGUGCCUUUUUCCUUCCGCACCCACGAGCAGGCUGCUCCUGGGGCCCUGGAGCUCACUUUCCCAGCCGCCCUCACCACCCACCGUGGCGCAGAAGAGCUUCCGAAGUCCUGGCGUCUCCCACUGGUCUGGGCAUCUCUCGCUUCAUCUUCCCUCUUGGGCCCCACAACGUGCAGCACUUCUAGGGCAGUAUACUUGCUGAUUGCUUCCUUACUAUUGCUCACAACAACCA